CCUACGGGGGGCUGCAGUGGGGGAUAUUGCACAAUGGGGGAAACCCUGAUGCAGCGACGCCGCGUGAGGGAUGACGGCCUUCGGGUUGUAAACCUCUUUCAGUUGGGAAGAAGCCCUUCGGGGUGACGGUACCUUCAGAAGAAGCACCGGCUAACUACGUGCCAGCAGCCGCGGUAAUACGUAGGGUGCGAGCGUUAUCCGGAAUUAUUGGGCGUAAAGAGCUCGUAGGCGGUUUGUCACGUCUGCUGUGAAAGCCCGGGGCUUAACCCUGGGUUUGCAGUGGGUACGGGCAGGCUGGAGUGCAGUAGGGGAGACUGGAAUUCCUGGUGUAGCGGUGAAAUGCGCAGAUAUCAGGAGGAACACCGAUGGCGAAGGCAGGUCUCUGGGCUGUUACUGACGCUGAGGAGCGAAAGCAUGGGGAGCGAACAGGAUUAGAUA
rnacentral:rRNA from 1 species